CACCUGCUAGUGACAUCAGCAUCAUCUUCACACCUGCUAGUGACAUCAACAUCAUCUUCACACCUGCUAGUGACAUCAGCAUCAUCUUCACACCUGCUAGUGACAUCAGCAUCAUCUUCACACCUGCUAGUGACAUCAGCAUCAUCUACACACCUGCUAGUGACAUCAUGCUUCUCUUCACCUGCUAGUGACAUCAGCAUCAUCUUCACACCUGCUAGUGACAUCAGCAUCAUCUUCACACCUGCUAGUGACAUCAGCAUCAUCUACACACCUGCUAGUGACAUCAUGCUUCUCUUCACCUGCUAGUAACUUGUCUGCUUUGUGAUAAGCAAAUUUUGCUACCUUCCAAUUCUGAACACAUCAGAAAUCACCAACCCCUCCUGACAUAUCUUUCUAGUUUGAGUUUUGCAUGGUCCCCAAUAAACUCAACGUGGGAUGCCUCUCCGAUUUCUUUCACAUCAGGGCACUUAACCUCUACCAGGACACAGGGAGGUUCUUCAUUUGGGUCCACCACUUUGCCAUCUGCACCAAGGUGUGGAGCAUCAGGGUGGAUGAUGAGACCAGAUGGAAGAACGUUAACGUCAAAGGUCUCCUCAUAGCGGUGAAGAAACUCUGGCUCAAGUUUGAAUCCUCUACACAUCGCUCUCUAGAAACCCCGACAGAUGUUUACACACGCUGUUUAAUGCAAGAUAUAGAUGCAUUUAACCUGCAAUUACAAAUGCAUAAUGUUUUGAUGUUUUAAUCCCAGAAUGUUGAAUACUGAUAUUUGCAUUGAUAAAAGAAAGUGCUUUAAGAGGUGAAAUUAAAAACACCAAUAUCUAGACAAUCAUGAAUUGUAACAUCACUUCCUUUAAUGUUUUUACUAUACAGUUGAUAUGGAAUUUGUUUAAAUCUUACAUUUUGGAAAAAACAGUAUUACCUGUUUAUAUGAAAUGCUUAUACAAAAUAAAUAUGUAGUUAACUUUAAAGUAUAUCUACAUUUCUUGCUUUCAUACAUGGUCAUAUAAAAAUUUGCCGUACUUAAGUGGUAGAUUUCUGCCAUUUACUGGAAAACAUUUAAUAUUACAAUUUUAAACAAAAGCACUAUAUGAGCAUUCUGAGUGAUUUUAUUACACUAAUAUACAAUCAGACAUCACAAUUUCUGUUUUGG